ensembl:snoRNA Gm23340 predicted gene, 23340
CCUGCUCCUAGAGGUUUACAAAUAUGGCUGCUGUGUCACUUGUGCAUCAGUAGGUGGCAGAGAAGUAUGUCUAUACUCAGUGUUAAGGCUUGUGAACUGCUGAAUGAUUCAUAGCUGAAGACU